rnacentral:rRNA from 1 species
GACCUGCGGAGGGAUCAUUACCGAGUUAUCCAACUCCCAACCCCUGUGAAUUAUACCUUUAAUUGUUGCUUCGGCGGGACUUCGCGCCCGCCGGGGACCCAAACCUUCUGAAUUUUUUAAUAAGUAUCUUCUGAGUGGUUAAAAAAAAUGAAUCAAAACUUUCAACAACGGAUCUCUUGGUUCUGGCAUCGAUGAAGAACGCAGCGAAAUGCGAUAAGUAAUGUGAAUUGCAGAAUUCAGUGAAUCAUCGAAUCUUUGAACGCACAUUGCGCCCGUCAGUAUUCUGGCGGGCAUGCCUGUUCGAGCGUCAUUACGCCCCUCAAGUCCCCUGUGGACUUGGUGUUGGGGAUCGGCGAGGCUGGUUUUCCAGCACAGCCGUCCCUCAAAUCAAUUGGCGGUCUCGCCGUGGCCCUCCUCUGCGCAGUAGUAAAACACUCGCAACAGGAGCCCGGCGCGGUCCACUGCCGUAAAACCCCCCAACUUUUUAUAGUUGACCUCGAAUCAGGUAGGACUACCCGCUGAACUUAAGCAUAUCAUAG